rnacentral:rRNA from 1 species
GUGAGCUGCGGAAGGAUCAUUGUCGAAACCUGCAAAGUAGAACGACCCGCGAACCUGUUUAAACACUGGGGAGUUGCGCGGUCGGGGUGCUUCGGCCUCCGUCCGCAAGGCUCCCUCCUAUCCCCGGCGCGCGCGCUUGCGUGUGUGCUGGGUGAUUAACGAACCCCGGCGCGGAAAGCGCCAAGGAAUACUAAAUUGAAUGCCUGCCCCUCGCACCCCGUUCGCGGUGCGCGCGGGGGGACUUGUGCUUCUUUUGAAACACAAACGACUCUCGGCAACGGAUAUCUCGGCUCUCGCAUCGAUGAAGAACGUAGCGAAAUGCGAUACUUGGUGUGAAUUGCAGAAUCCCGUGAACCAUCGAGUCUUUGAACGCAAGUUGCGCCCGAAGCCAUCAGGCCGAGGGAACGUCUGCCUGGGCGUAACGCAUCGCGUCGCCCCCGCACACCGCGCCAUUCUCAUGGUUGCGGUGGUGUCGUGGGACGGAUAUUGGCCUCCCGUGCGCCUAAAGCGUGCGGUUGGCCUAAAUGCGAGUCCACGGCGACGGACGUCACGACAAGUGGUGGUUGAAACUCAACUCUCGUAAUGUCGCGGCUCCAACCCGUCGCACGUUUGGGCUCACCGACCCUCAUCGCGCUUAGGCGCUCCGACCGCGACCCCAGGUCAGGCGGGACUA